AGCCUGCGAUGAGCUUUCCAUUUCUGACACCUCGUAUGAGUAUUGCCCAAGCAGUACUUGAUUACGCUUGAUGUCUGAGGCUG
ensembl:snoRNA